UUUUUUUUUUUUUUGAGGAACUGCGGAGCCAUUUUUCAUGUUAUGUCAUUAUACAUACCAUGCAUAGGAUUAUAAUUCCCCACAUUUUUGCCAAUAGUUAUAUCCUUUUAAUUUAACUAUCCUAAUAAAUAUGGACUGGUAUCUCAUCACAGUUACUUUCAAACUUUUUUCUCUCUUUUUCUUUGCAUAUGUGUGUGUGUGUGCACGCGUGUGGGGGCAGGGAGAGAAAAAUACGGAUAUGCACACAGUGCACACAUUGGAGGUUGGAGGAAAAGUCUUGAAGGAAGACUUCUGUUGUUCCUGCUGCAGUCUGGUCCAGCUGGCCUAUAAACCAGGGAUUCUCUUGUCUACCCUCCUCAUUUGGCCAGGGAAGCACUGGGAUUCCAGACAUAUGCUAUUACUGCAUCUGUCUCUGGGUUCAAGAAACCUAAACUCAGGUCUUCACAUUUCCAUAAUGUGUGUGCUUUACCCAUUGACCCAUCUUCACAGUCCUCCAAAAUUUCAAACAUUAAAGCAUUUCUUUCUGUGUGAUUUUUCCCAGCUCUGAGGUAGAGCAGCUUUGGAUUGGACCUCCUCAGUGUAAAGCGAACUCGACAUGGGAACACACUUUAGACCAUGGUAUGGGGGCUGUUUUCUGACUGGCCACAGUAAGAAGUUAAAAUCUGUUGAAUGCAUAACUCCAGCCGAUCACUCCAUGCCUAUAUAAACUGACUUAAAAGUGAAUGACCUCAGGUGUAGCAUAGGAAGAAAAGUAGUGUUGUCUGCUGGGGCCCUCUGAGGAUUACGUGUGCAAUAACCCCCAGCUACCUGUUGUGGUUCAGCAGGUUAGUGCUGAGCGUGGCUCUGCAGCAUAGUGGAUAGAUCCGGGAGACAGUCAGCAUACUGGCUCAGGAGUCUGGGGGGCGGGGAGGCUUAAGAUGGGGCUUCCUAGCAGGAAGGAAGAGGAAACUAUACAAAAUCCCAUUAAGCCAAGAGCAUCCUGGAGCUGGUGCACUCCCUGGCAACCUUACUGGAGGAAGUGCAGAGUGAGGAGAGUCAGGAAACCUGUUCUCAGCCUCUAGUUGCCCAGCCAGCAGGACCGGCAUCAGAAUAGUCACAGAGAGGUUGCUGAGUGAAGGACACUAAGUCAAGGUUAGUGAGGGACUGGUGCCUGGUGGUGGGCCUAUGGGUACAGCUUCCACUUUCUUACUGGGGAAAUUAUCUUCAUCUAUGUUCUGCUUAUAAAACGAGGUUAACUUCAGGAAGGCAAGGCUCUGUUUUCCCCUCUGGUCAGAUGUUGGUGGAAAGUCCAUCUAUCCAGGUAUAGAAAUGUAGAUUCUGGGGUACUCAGUACUAACCAAGACUAAGCCCUGAUUUUGAUCUACUGUGUAUCCAGUGACUGGAUGUUGAAUGGUCUGGAACAAAAUUUUUUGAGAAGGAAGAUAUCUCUAGUUUCUCUGUCUCUUCAACUUGGCUGAACAUGCUGAGUCACUUCAGAAACUAUAUAUGGGUUGUCCCAGAUGCUGGUCAUCUGGUACUGUAUUUUUUCUGUGAAGCUUUCAUGGGAUAAAGAGCGAAGUCUAGAAGACUCCUCCCUGCUCACUGUAUUCUUUCAGAAGUACCGUGAUUAGUUACUAUGCGCUGUUGGUGUGGUACUGUGUACCAGGACCAAUGUCCAGCAAGAGCUUAUAGAGAUGAAAGUGUCUGUGAGUACGCACUGAGAGUACCAAUGAGGGGAAGUCAGAGUCAGGGCUGGGUCCUAGGUCCCAGGUCCUAAAUCCCAGAGAUGGAAUAGCUGUCAAAGAAUGUAGUGUGUAAAUUCCAGGGUUUUUCCCCAGAGGGAAGUGGGAUGGGAUAGGGGGGACAAAGUGGAGAGGAAACAAUAUUGCUCAUAAAUAGUCAUUGUAAGGAUCUUGUGUCUUGCCAGAGACACCCCCUGAAGUCUCUGUCAACUUUCAAUGCCAAAGUGGCCUCUUUUUGAGAUCCCUGAACUCUGGUUCCAUGAUCUGAAAGGAGAGGAGAUCUGCCAGGUUCCUGGAGCAGGUGGAACUCCGCGUGGAUGGUAACUCAGGACCGGAGGCCCAACCCCUCACUUCUCCAAGCAAAGCAGGAGGAUGAUGAGAACUCCAAGCCCUCAAACUCUCUGUACCUAGGAAUUUUUGCUUUGGCCACUAGACUUCCAUUAUCCAGCAAGUGUGAAAGACUCAGGACAUGCCUACGUAACUUGUUUCCUUUCCUUUUGAUGGAAGACUCAGACCCUUUGUGACUGAGCAAAGCCCUUAAUUAUAAUCCUGUGGUAAUGCUUCUGUAAACAGUAGCUUGAGUUGAAAGACCAGGCCCAAUGCUAUGAAAAAAUCACAAAACCUUCCUUCUGUCUCAGCCCCUGAUGCUCUGUUGAAACCUUCCUCUGUCUCAUUCCUUAAUGGCUCAGUUUUGAACUCUAAACUCAAAAUGGCAACGUACAGGUUACCCAUCUCUUUCAGUGACCUGUUAUAUAUCCCAUGGGCUAAGUGUUGAGCUGUGGUGGUGGGCACUUAACUGGGUGUUUGUGGCCUCGGGAAUUCUUUCCAUUCCCCUUCUCCCUGUGUGUAUAAACUCAUCAUCCCCUGAGUUUAAGUUAUUUAAAGUAAAUGCUUCUCUUUUAAAUGAAUGUUUGCCUUUUCAUGUUGUUCAUUUCCUCCUAGGUUGUCACAACUAGACAGUGCUUGCCCAUCCUUUAAGUCUGACUUUAUUCUAAAACACAGAGACUAGCCAUUACUUGAAAUGCCAAAGCUUUAUACAGAAGGACUGACAAAACCUUCCCUUUCUCUGUAAUUCUGUCCUGAGGUUUUCCUCUUCUUCCUUAAUCCAUGCUCCUGAGCCUCACUUAGUUCCCUGGUAGUCAUCUUCAGAGUCGUUUACUUGUUUUUAUUUUUAGGACCAUUCUCCCUUCUUGAAUGCUUGCUGAGAGACUCAGGGAGUGAACCUUAUAGGUUCUUAGAACAAAGCAUGAUGAGUGCCAUGAGCCACACACAAUGCCUUAAGAGAGUUCCUGUUCAAAGCUUCUCACACAGUUGCCAGUCAUUGGCUGUCCCUAGGUGGACUAUAGUGAACACUACAACCCCUUAUUGUUCUGGCUUGUCACCAUGUCUUUCAUUUACCUGGAAGGCCCAUGGGACUUCUUUCCUUUCUAAUACUUUCUACCUAACACCAAACAGCCUUCUAGAAUGG
rnacentral:lncRNA from 1 species